rnacentral:rRNA from 1 species
CUAAAAACCUAGCCGUAAUCUCUACUCUACUACCCCAUUCAAACCAAAAUAUUUUAUUUGUUUAGUAAAGACGAUUAAAAAAUUAAUCAGAGCGAUAAAUCUGUACCGUAAGGGAAAGAUGAAAUAAUAAUGAAAUAUUCAUUAAGCAUAAAAUAGUAGAGACUAACCCUCGUACCUUUUGCAUCAUGGUUUAACUAGUCUAACCAAGCAAAAAGAAUUACAGUUUGACUCCCCGAAACUAAGUGAGCUACUUUAGGACAGCUUCAUGAGCAAACCCGUCUCUGUUGCAAAAGAGUGGGAAGAUCUUAAAGUAGGGGCGAUAUACCUAACGAACUUAGCGAUAGCUGGUUAUUCAGGAAAUGAAUCUUAGUUCAACCUAAAGUUACUUCAAUUAUAAUAAAUAAACGCUUAACUUUAGAGUUAGUCAAAUAAGUCAUAGCCUAUUUGAAACAGGAUACAACCUCCACCUGUGGGUAACACAACCUCAUUUUUAAUCAAGUUGGCCUAAGGGCAGCCAUCUUUUGAAAAGCGUCAAAGCUUAAUUGUUAUAACACUAUUAAUUCCUUAAACUAUCCAGAACCCCUCAUCAAUACUGAAUGAUCCCAUACUUUUAUGGAACUCUCUAUGUUAAAACGAGUAACAAGAUAUCAACUCUCUCUUACUAUGUAAGCACACAUCAGAACAGAAAAUCUACUGACCCGUAACAGCCAUAAACCCUAGUAACACCACAUCAAGAAAAUCCUACUCACACAACUGUUAACCUAACACAAGAACAUAAAAAGAAAGAUUAUAAGAAAAAGAAGGAACUCGGCAAAUUCUGAUUCCGCCUGUUUACCAAAAACAUCGCCUCCUGCUAGCCUAUAGGAGGUCCAGCCUGCCCAGUGACCUAGUUUAACGGCCGCGGUAUCCUAACCGUGCGAAGGUAGCGUAAUCACCUGUUUUUUAAUUAAAGACCUGUAUCAAAGGCAUCACGAGAAUCGCACUGUCUCCUUUUUCCAAUCAGUGAAACUAAUCUCCCCGUGAAAAAGCGGGGAUAACUAUACAAGACGAGAAGACCCUUUGGAGCUUCAAACAAAGUAAUAUAUUCCCCCCCCCCCCCCCCCCCACCUAUAUAAAACAGCAUCUAUAUUACAAAUCUUCGGUUGGGGCAACCACGGAGUAAAAAUCAACCUCCGAGCUGAACGGAGCUUUCCUAAGCAGAAAGUCACAACUUUAUGCAUCAAUAAAUUGACAUUAUGACCCAAUAUUUUGAUUAUCGAACUAAGUUACCCUAGGGAUAACAGCGCAAUCUACUUCGAGAGCCCAUAUCGACAAGUAGGCUUACGACCUCGAUGUUGGAUCAAGGUAUCCCAGUGGUGCAGCCGCUACUAAAGGUUCGUUUGUUCAACGAUUAAAACCUCACGUGAUCUGAGUUCAGACCGGAGUAAUCCAGGUCAGUUUCUAUCUGUAAAGAGCUAUUCCCAGUACGAAAGGACAGAAAUAGCGCGGCCAAUAUUAUAUCCAAGCCACACCAUCACUUAUGACAUUUACUCAAUAAGCCAAUCUAAAAGGACCCCAAGAACAGG